rfam:Lactobacillus kunkeei strain LAko contig007, whole genome shotgun sequence.
AGUAAUCGAAGAGGUCGCAAGCGAGAUUAGUAGAUAAAGUCAGUCACUGCAAUGACUAUGAGCUUUAUUGAAAGGUGAACUUGCCGAAGUUAAUGAUUUUUUGCAGAGAUCAUUUUCUGGGACGUGUGUGAAGAAUGCACGGACUGUCACAAGAAAAUAUGUCUUGUGGAGCGCUUUCGACAAUU